rnacentral:rRNA from 1 species
UAUGUGAUCGUCUCUCGCAUAUCAAUAAGCGGAGGAAAAGAAACUAACAAGGAUUCCCCUAGUAACGGCGAGUGAAGCGGGAAGAGCUCAAAUUUGAAAUCUUAAAGGGUUUCCCUUUACGAAUUGUAGUUUAAAGAAGUGUUUUCUGUUGAGGUUUUGGUAAAAGUUCUUUGGAAUAGGACAUCAUAGAGGGUGAGAAUCCCGUAUUUGACCUUUACUUUCAACUUUGUGAUACACUUUCAAAGAGUCGGAUUGUUUGGGAAUGCAGUCCAAAAUGGGUGGUAAAUUUCAUCUAAAGCUAAAUAUUGGCGAGAGACCGAUAGCGAACAAGUACCGUGAGGGAAAGAUGAAAAGAACUUUGAAAAGAGAGUUAAACAGUACGUGAAAUUGUCAAAGGGGAAGCGUUUGACACCAGUGUUGUUUUUCUGAAAAUCAAUUAAAGAACUGUUUAUGCUAAGUUGUUUAGACUUUAUCAGCUAACUGUUUAGUUUUGAGCUUUUCUUUAAUGCACUUUUCAGUUAACAAGUCAACAUCAAUUUCUUUUGCUGUAAAAAAGCUUGAGGAAGGUGGCUUGAGAUUCGUCUUAAGUGUUUAUAGCCUCUUGCCUAUGCAGUCGAAGAGAUUGAGGUCUGCAGCGUAGAUCCUUCGGGGCUAAAUGCAUUUGUGCUAAGUUAUAGCAUUUUAUAGACAACUUGUUGACUAUGAUUUGUCUUGUAGCUUACUCGCUUAUGUUAUUUUACCUACGCUUAGGAUGUUGACACACGCGCGUGCUCG